rnacentral:misc_RNA from 1 species
AAGUCGUAACAAGGUCUCCGUAGGUGAACCUGCGGAGGGAUCAUUACAGAGUUCUCGCCCUGACGGGUAGAUCUCCCACCCACUGUUAUCGUUACCGUCGUUGCUUUGGCGGGCCGCCAGGCCCGCCGGAGGCCCCCCAAACUCUGAAUGUUAGUGUCGUCUGAGUACUAUACAAUAGUUAAAACUUUCAACAACGGAUCUCUUGGUUCUG